GACGAACCGUGCGAACGUUAUUCGGAAUCACUGGGCUUAAAGCGCGUGUAGGCGGAUGGGAACGUCGGCCACUGAAAGCCCCCGGCUCAACCGGGGAAGCGGUGCCGGGACGGCCCGUCUGGAGGGGCGUAGGGGGACCUGGAACUUCCGGUGGAGCGGUGAAAUGCGUAGAGAUCGGAAAGAACACCAACGGCGAAAGCACUCUGCUGGGCCGACACUGACACUGAGAGACGAAAGCUAGGGGAGCGAAUGGG
rnacentral:rRNA from 1 species